rnacentral:rRNA from 1 species
GCAAACGGCCAUACCAUGUUGAAUACACCGGUUCUCGUCCGAUCACCGAAGUUAAGCAACAACGGGCGUGGUUAGUGCCUGGAAGGGUGACCGCCUGGGAAAACCGCAUGCUGUGGGAA